rnacentral:rRNA from 1 species
AUUGAACGCUGGCGGCAGGCCUAACACAUGCAAGUCGAGCGGAUGAAGGGAGCUUGCUCCUGGAUUCAGCGGCGGACGGGUGAGUAAUGCCUAGGAAUCUGCCUGGUAGUGGGGGAUAACGUCCGGAAACGGGCGCUAAUACCGCAUACGUCCUGAGGGAGAAAGUGGGGGAUCUUCGGACCUCACGCUAUCAGAUGAGCCUAGGUCGGAUUAGCUAGUUGGUGGGGUAAAGGCCUACCAAGGCGACGAUCCGUAACUGGUCUGAGAGGAUGAUCAGUCACACUGGAACUGAGACACGGUCCAGACUCCUACGGGAGGCAGCAGUGGGGAAUAUUGGACAAUGGGCGAAAGCCUGAUCCAGCCAUGCCGCGUGUGUGAAGAAGGUCUCCGGAUUGUAAAGCACUUUAAGUUGGGAGGAAGGGCAGUAAGUUAGUACCUUGCUGUUUUGACGUUACCAACAGAAUAAGCACCGGCUAACUUCGUG